rnacentral:misc_RNA from 1 species
GGGGAGACGUCUCUCCCGCGCAGAGACGGUGGGUAUUGUGGUCAGCAGAGAUUUGAAGGCGAAUCGAUUUAUGAAAUUCGAUAUUGACGAUGGCACUGGUUGCAUCCCUUGUAUCCUAUGGCUCAACCAUGAGAGUUCGCGUUACUUCUCCCGUCGUUGCCCAUCAAAUGUUCGACUUAUUGCCCAAAUGGCGGCCGAUUUUGCUUCUCAAGUCCAGCUUGGGGUUAUUGCUCGAGUUCGCGGGAAGAUGAG